GGUCUGGUGGUGUAACAGUAACACAUCCUCUCGAUGUUCCACUUGCUCCACGUUCCGAGGAGGUUCCUUGUUCGAGUCAAGGUCAGGCCA